rnacentral:rRNA from 1 species
AUGAGGCUCAUUGAGAGGGCCUGGGCACAGACUUAUCCCAGAGUGCUGCUAGAAACUGGAGAUUUUGUUUCUCAUGAGAUCAAGCGUCUGAGGAAGAAGGACAACUGGACAGCGCCUCACACAGGGGGUCCUUCUACUACUGCUGCCACAGGGGGCCCGUCUGCUGCUGCUGCUGCCAUGGGAACUGAGGGUGAGGCUGCUACUGAUGCCCAUAAUGAGGACUUUGGCCACUCCAGUGCAGGACCAUCAUGGGCCCAGAAGCUCAAGCGCAAGAUGAAGAAGCUCUUCUGCAUGGAGUCCCAUGGUCAGUACUUGACUCAUGUGGCGGAGAAGAAUGCCAGGACGCGCCACAAGGAGAUCAUGCAUCAGUUGGGCGCCACAGUUGUCAGUGGGUCUGAGGGACAGAUCACUGAAGAAGAGGACUGGAUUCAUCAGAACUGCCACUGGACCGACUCCGAUGCCGAGCAGUUUUCAACUCACGAUGAAGAUGCAGAGAUGUGA